GCGGGGGGGCGGGCGGGGUGGCGGCGUGCUCGAAAAUGUUAAAGUUCUUAUUUCAUGGUAUAACUUUGGUAUGCUUGGACCUAGAGUCUUCAAACUUGACAUGAAGGUUGGCCAGGAUUAACAGAUGACCACUGGUCAUUUCAAGGUCAUUCAUUUGAAGGUCAAGGUCACUGUGACCUUCAAUAUAAAAAAUGUUAAAGUUGUUAUAACUUUGGUAUGCUUGGACCUAGAGUCUUGAAACUUGACAUGAAGGUUGGCCAUAACUAGUUAGUAACCACUGGUCAUUUCAAGGUCAUUCAUUUGAAGGUCAAGGUCACUGUGACCUUGAAUGUAAAAAUGUUAAAGUUCUUAUUUCAUGGUAUAACUUUGGUAUGCUUGGACCUAGAGUCUUCAAACUUGACAUGAAGGUUGGCCAGGAUUAACAGAUGACCACUGGUCAUUUCAAGGUCAUUCAUUUGAAGGUGAAGGUCACUGUGACCUUCAAUAUAAAAAUGUUAAAGUUGUUAUAACUUUGGUAUGCUUGGACCUAGAGUCUUGAAACUUGACAUGAAGGUUGGCCAGAACUAGUAAGUAACCACUGGACAUUUCAAGGUCAUUCAUUUGAAGGUCAAGGUCACUGUGACCUUGAAUGUAAAAAUGUUAAAGUUCUUAUUUCAUGUUAUAACUUUGGUAUGCUUGUACCUAGAGUCUUCAAACUUGAAAUAAAGAUUGGCCAGUACUAGAAGAUGACCACUGGUCAUUUCAAUGUCAUUCAUUUGAAGGUCAAGGUCACUGUGACCUUAAAUGUUAAAAUGUUAAAAUUGUUAUAACUUUGGUAUGCUUGGACAUAGAGUCUUCAAACUUGACAUGAAGGUUUGCAAGCACACUUAGAUGACCACUGGUCAUUUCAAGGUCAUUCAUUCUAAGGUCAAGGUCACUGUGACCUUGAAUGUAAAAAUGUCUGGAUUUCUGUGUAGGUAUGUGAAAGCAAAACAAUAAAUAGUAUUAUUUCAUCUAAGUUUAUUUUCUUACAUUUGAUAAUGAAAUUGAUGGAAACUUCAAACAAUAUGUUACUAAUUUGCUAAUAAAAAAAUUGAGAUCAAACUUU